UACGUAGGGUGCAAGCAUUAAUCGGAUUUAUUGGGCGUAAAGGGGGCGCAGGCGGCAAAGUAAGUGGGAUGUGAAAUCCCGGGGCUCAACCCCGGACCCGCAUUCCAAACUACUUUACUAGAGGAUAGACGGAGAAAACGGAAUUCCACAUGUAGCGGUGAAAUGCGUAGAUAUGUGGAAGAACACCUGUGGCGAAAGCGGUUUUCUAGUUUAUUCCUGACGCUCAUGCCCGAAAGCUAGGGGAGCAAACAGG
rnacentral:rRNA from 1 species